rnacentral:rRNA from 1 species
GAACUUAAGCAUAUCAAUAAGCGGAGGAAAAGAAACCAACAGGGAUUGCCUUAGUAACUGCGAGUGAAGCGGCAAAAGCUCAAAUUUGAAAUCUGGCGUCCUCGGCGUCCGAAUUGUAAUUUGGAGAGGCAACUUCGGUGAUGGUGCCGUCCUAAGUUCCUUGGAACAGGAUGACAUAGAGGGUGAGAUCCCCGUGCCUGGAUGGCUGACUAUCUCCAUGUGAAUUGCCUUCGAAGAGUCGAGUUGUUUGGGAAUGCAGCUCAAAAUGGGUGGUAAAUUUCAUCUAAAGCUAAAUAUUGGCGAGAGACCGAUAGCGCACAAGUAGAGUGAUCGAAAGAUGAAAGGCACUUUGAAAAGAGAGUUAAAAAGUACGUGAAAUUGUUGAAAGGGAAGCGCUUGAGACCAGACUCGAUUUGUGGUGAUCAGCUGUGCUUAUGUACGGUGCACUCGCCAUGGAUCGGGCCAGCAUCGGUUCUGACGGUGGGAUAAAAGGUUGAGGAAUGUGACUUCCUUCGGGGAGUGUUAUAGCCUCGCUCACAAUGCCACCAGCUGGGACCGAGGACCGCGCUUCGGCUAGGAUGCUGGCGUAAUGGUCUUAAGCGACCCGUCUUGAAACACGGACCAAGGAGUCUAACAUCUAUGCGAGUGUUCGGGUGGAAAACCCUUGCGCGUAAUGAAAGUGAACGGAGGUGGGAACCCGCAAGGGUGCACCAUCGACCGAUCCUGAUGUCUUCGGAAGGAUUUGAGUAAGAGCAUAGCUGUUGGGACCCGAAA